rnacentral:rRNA from 1 species
AUGUCCCCCAACCUGGAGGGCACGCUCAAGAGCCAGGUGCCCGCGCUGCUCCUCCGGCGCCUCUUCGGCGCCGGGGCGCGCCGGGAUGCGCCGCGGCCGUCGCCCUCGCCUUCGCCGCCUCCGGCGGGGAGGCGGCGGGUGUUCGUGCAGACGGAGUCCGGGUGCGUGCUGGGCAUGGACCUGGACCGCGGCGACAACGCGCACACCGUCAAGCGCCGGCUGCAGCUCGCCCUCAACGUGCCCACCGGCGGCACCUCGCUCACCUUCGGCGACCGCGUCCUGGAGAACGACCUCUCCUCCGUCCGCCACGACUCGCCGCUGCUGCUCACCCGCAACAGCAUCCACCGCAGCUGCUCCACCCCGUGCCUCUGCCCCGUCUCCGAGGACUUCGAGCAGAAGGACUGCGGCGGCCUGGUUGAGAUACUCGGGUCGUCGAGCGGCAGCGUGAGGCGCCUCGUCGACGACGUGGCCGCCGGCAUAAUGGGCGGGCUGGAUCCGGUCCCCAUCGACAGUGGCCUUGGCGGCUCCUACUACUUCCGGAAUGAUGAGGGCGACAGAGUCGCCAUUGUCAAGCCGACAGAUGAGGAGCCGUUUGCCCCGAACAACCCGAAGGGGUUCACCGGGAGAGCGCUUGGCCAGCCGGGACUGAAGAAGUCUGUCCGGGUAGGGGAGACAGGGUUCAGGGAGGUCGCGGCGUACCUGUUGGAUCAUGAAAACUUCGCAAAUGUUCCUGCAACGGCUCUGGUGAAGAUAACACACUCGGUUUUCAAUAUCAAUCGUCCGAUGAACGGCGGCACUCCGGCUCAUGACCAUAAGCCGCAGGUCACCAGUAAGAUUGCUUCAUUUCAGCAGUUCAUCGCUCAUGACUUCGAUGCCAGUGACCACGGCACUUCGAGCUUCCCGGUUGCAGCUGUUCACAGGAUCGGCAUAUUAGACAUCAGGAUUUUCAACACUGACAGGCAUGGUGGCAAUGUCCUGGUGAGGAAGCUUGAUGGAGGAACCGGCCGCUUUGGUUGCCAAACAGAACUGUUCCCAAUUGAUCAUGGGCUGUGCUUACCGGAGAACUUGGAGGACCCUUAUUUCGAGUGGAUACACUGGGCACAGGCGUCAAUCCCGUUCUCCGAGGAAGAGCUCGAGUACAUUAGCAAACUUGAUCCGAUGAGGGAUGCUGCAAUGCUGCGCGGAGAACUGCCCAUGAUACGCGAGGCUUGCCUCCGAGUGCUUAUUCUAUGCACAAUCUUCCUCAAGGAGGCCGCUGCUUUCGGGCUUUGCUUGGCAGAGAUAGGUGAGAUGAUGACCAGGGAAUUCAGAGGAAUGGAGGAGGAACCCAGCAAACUGGAGGUUGUGUGCAUGGAAGCCAGGAGGAAAGUAGACGAAUGGGAACCCUUCUCCCCUAGUGUUGAACAAGGAGAGGACAUGGAUUUCCAGUUCUCAAUGGAUGUGUUAGGAGGGUACAGUGAUGUGAUUCGAUCGCCAAGAUUCAUUUGCUCAGGCUUGAAGGGCAGCUUCAGAAACCCUCUGACAAAGCUCGUGGAGAGCAUGAACGAGGACGGUGAUGACGAAGAAGAUCGAAAGUCAUCCGAUCGGUUCUCAUCUGCUGAGUUCAGCACGCCCAGUCUUCACAGAACCACCAGUUCAAAAACUAGUUCAAACAGCAGCAUGCAUGCCCCAAACAGGAGCGCAGACGAGCAGCUCCCAUCGAGCCUGUGCUUCGUCAGGCUGUCGGACAUGAGCGCAGAGGAGUGGCACGUCUUCGUCGAGAAGUUCCAGGAGCUGCUGAAGGAAGCGCUGGAGGAAUGCAAGGCGGCGGCGGGGCAGCGGAUGAAGCAACGGCUGGGCACCUCCUGCAAAUUUUGA